GGAAUGGCCUCACAAAGGGGCAGGUAGCAAGUGACCCUGACAAGGGAACCAGGGCCCCUGCCGGUCCUGUCCCAGCCCUGCUGACAGUGGCUUCUUUACCCCCUGGGCAGCAGGGGCUGGUGGACUUUGGAGGAGGCGGCCGAGACGUGCCGGAGCAGCUGACUGUCAGCUCAGGUCCAGGAAGCCGUGAGCAAAGGAGAGCGACUGCGAAGGGCCUCCUCCACCUGCCAGAAGAGGGGAGGGAAGGUAACAGCCUUGGGCUCGAGCCCGGGGACCUCUGCCAGCGGCCACGUCCAGCCCACAGCCCCAGGGAGGGCCAGGAGGAACCACAGAGCCCGAUCUCCCCAGGCUGGGGGCCGAGCCCAGGCGAACCCGCCUCCCCAGGGGGCUUCAGAUGCAGAAAUCAGCUUUCUGUCCUAGAAUGGAGCCCAGCCGCCCGGGCCUGUCGUCACAGCGUCCGAAGUCUGUCCCAUCAGAGGCCAGCUGCCCGGAGGGUAACGCAGACCUGUAAUCCUAAGAUGACCCCUCCUCACUGGCUCUGAGGAAAUCACGCCCCACCGCCAGCCCCACCCUGUGGAAGUUUUGUCUCCAUGGUCAGACCUGCUUGUUUGCACCGCCUUCCUAUCUUCAUCAUUUCUACCUUCAAACGUCCUCUUCGCCUGCUCUCUCCUCAACCUGCCUGGCUCCUCCUGCAAGGGCCUCCCCAGACAGGGCUCCUGCAGGUCAUGAGAACCACAGAGAGACUGCACCUGCCAUUCUGGUCGGAGCCUGCUCAGGGGCUCAGACCAGGGCAGCCCUCCUGCACGCCUGAGCAGACCCAGCAGUGCUCUGCUUCCCCUUAGCAGGACAGGGUAGGUGACCCCCAAAAGACAGAAACCACUGUCCACUGCAACUGAGCAGGAAACCUCACAAAUCUGACAAGGAGAAAACAG
ensembl:lncRNA